UUUUGAAUCAGAAAAUAAAGCUCAGAAAAAGCGAAUCCCUCAAUCAGAAAAAAUGGAAGAACCACCACCACCACCAGCACCACCACCACCAUAUCUUUCAAUACUUGAAAAUUGCAUAAUUUCAUCAUCUCAAGAAGAUUUGUUAGACCAAAAGGGUUUUGCAUUUUCAGAUAAUAUCCAUCAAGAUGGUCAAAUCGAUGAAGAAUUUGAACAACCAUCACUUCCACUUGAUGAUCAUAGAACCGGAAUUAGGAUUUGUUCACUAGAAGAUGAUUCCAUUAGCAGCAGCAGUGGUGAUGGUGAUGAGGAUUUAGUAGGAGAAGCAGAAAAAACAACCCUAGAAUCACUUAAUCAGAAAAAUCUAGGGUUGUCACAGUGUAAUUAUGAUGAUGAUUCUAUUGGUGAAGAAGAAGAUAGGGAGAAAAUUGGUAAAGGAAAGCAUAAUUUGGGGGAACACUGUGGAGUUGAAGGUGGUGAGAAAAGAAUUAGGUUGAUUGGGGAGUGUUCAAGUGGUGGUCAUAAGAAGGAUGAAUGUGGAAAAAAGCAAAAAGAAUUAGAAGAUGAGGAGGAAGAUAUAAUGGGUUUUGCAAUUAAGGGUGGUCUGGAGAUGCCUCGGCCUCGUUGGUGGAGGAGUGGAGGUUAUGAAAUUCCGUAGUUAUCAUAUCACUAGAAUUAAGUACAUGAGUGUGUGCCACUAUCAUCUUCAAGACCAAGGAAGAAAGAGAAACUCAAAAUCGACAGCAGAAAAACUGGGAGAAGGAGGAAUAUCAUAAUCUUCCCCGCUACUACUCAUAUGCAAUCAUAAGAUUAACUCUAUCAGAAUCAGAAAACAUACUGAGCAAGCAGAGAUUAAAGAAUUAAGAAGUGCAGUUCAUGUUUCGAAUCUCUUGGCGGAACUUAUGAACGGUGAAGUUGAGGACAACUUGCAUAAAUGCUUGCAGGACGGAGUCGAAGGAAAAAGGCAAGUGGAUAAAGUGAUUGAAAACUGUGUCUCCAUAGAGCUGUGUAAUGCUUCCUCCAUGUUGUUAAACAUGUUAACACCAUUCAUCCGUGGAGAGGAAUUGAAGUCUGUAUGGUCUCAGGACUUGACAAGUGUAGCCAGCAGAAGUUAGCUUUCCUGUACCUUUUCUGGACAUUGAUUUGAAUAAACCGCCAUCUGUGGAAGCAUCAGCAAAUGAUCUACUUAGAGGUUGUGUUUCCUAUUGAGAGAAAUUAUCCUUCGGUGCCUUCUGCUCCUAGAAUGAAACUGGUCUCUUUCUCAGAAAUGAAAGCACUUUGUAUCGUUCACACCAAGUCACAAGUAUUAGUUGUGAUCGUUCACACCAAGUCACAUAGGCUGUGAUCGGUUAUACCAAGAUACUCAAUAUAAGUUAAAGACCAGUGCUACCAUAAUACAUUGUAUUGGUCAUCAAAUGAUCUUCAAUGAAUAACCAAACCAAUACACCUAUUGAUC